GUGGGUCCAAUAAAAAUCCACAUUAAAGUAAAAUUCAGCCCAGCCCAAUUCUAGAAACCUUUAUUAAAAGACCCUUCAGGUAGGGUUUUCUAAUUCGACACUCUCCUCAUUUCCUCCUCCAUGUCUCCUCUGAGAGAGUUUGUCAACUAAGCCGCCUAUCUUCUUCAUCUGUGGAUCAUCAAUUCCCCUUUGGGUAAUGGUUUAUUAAUGAGCAGAGAAUCAACUCACAAAGAUAUCUUGGGUUUUUUUCGAAUUCGACAGGGGUGUCUAGUCAUGACUCUUAGUUGAGUAAGCUCUUUAUAGUGAUGAAAAUAUCCACGAUGCUCAGACGUUUCCUUCUUUACAACUCCUCCUCAAGAUCAGAUCUCCCAAUCCAUAUUUGUCCCUCUGGUCCUCGAAUUUUGCUGGUGACUAGCUCCUUUUGAAGACGUAUGAACUUUCUCUCGGAUUUCCUCUACUAGCUUCAUGUGUAUUGCACUUCAUCCAUCCUUGCUCUGGUAAUAUCAUUCAUCAUCGCUCUGGUAAUAUCAUCCAUUGUCGCUCUGGUUUUUCUGUCAAGUGAUUACAUUUAUUCAGUAAGUGAUGAAGGGAAGACCUAUAUUGUAUUCUUGGAAAAGAAAACUUGCAAUUGCAGAUGAACAUUGGUCAGACUUUUACAAGGCAUAAAUAAUAUUAUAAACAUAUGAAGUAAAUGGAAUAUACCUGAACACAUUUCUACUAAAGUUGUUUUGCCACCAAAAUACAAAAGACCUCUGGAAAGGCCAAAGAAGCAACAGGAGAAGUCAUUUAGCGAGUAAACUUAAAGGAAGAGUACGAAUUAUUGUAGUACAUGUGGAAAAUGUGGUCAUAAUAGGCAGUUCAUGUCGAACUACAACACGGAAUACAUAGGACCUGAUAUAUGUCAUUAUUGAAGUGUAUUUUUACUUAAUUAUCGUUAUGUCGAAUAGAUGAAUAAAAUAAUUCUUAUUUGCCUUUUAAAAUA